UUCUUUUGAAUCCUGUUCAGGUAUUUGAACUGAGCUCAAAACAGGGGCCAGAAGUAGGCCUUUAUCUUUUCAGGAAGGUGCCUCACUUCCGAGUUCUCAUAUGUGGUGGAGAUGGUACUGUUGGCUGGGUUUUGAAUGCCAUAGACAAACAAAAUUUUAUUUCUCCUCCACCUGUAGCUAUUCUUCCUGCUGGAACUGGAAAUGACUUGGCUAGAGUACUAUCCUGGGGAGGUGGUCUGGGCUCAGUUGAGAAACAAGGAGGCCUUUGCACAUUGUUACACCAUAUAGAGCAUGCUGCAGUAACUAUUCUUGAUCGGUGGAAGGUAGCCAUUGUAAAUCAAGGAAAGCAACUUCAGUCUUCCAAAUUUAUGAACAACUAUCUUGGAGUUGGGUGUGAUGCAAAGGUUGCACUGGAUAUCCACAAUCUGCGGGAAGAAAAUCCAGAGAAGUUUUAUAACCAGUUUAUGAACAAAGUUCUCUACGCAAGAGAAGGGGCCAGGAGUAUAAUGGACAGGACAUUUGCUGACUUUCCAUGGCAAGUUAGAGUGGAAGUAGAUGGUGUCGAAAUAGAGGUCCCUGAGGAUGCUGAGGGGGUACUUGUUGCAAACAUUGGAAGCUAUAUGGGUGGUGUAGACCUAUGGCAAAAUGAGGAUGAACACUAUGAUAACUUUGAUCCACAAUCCAUGCAUGAUAAGAUACUAGAGGUUGUGAGCAUAUCUGGAACAUGGCACCUUGGAAAGCUUCAGGUGGGGCUUUCUCGUGCUCGAAGGCUUGCACAGGGACAGUCAAUAAAGAUACAACUUCUUGCUGCAUUGCCUGUGCAGAUUGAUGGAGAACCUUGGUUUCAGCAGCCUUGUACUUUGGCUGUAUCUCAUCAUGGACAGGCUUUCAUGUUAAUGAGGGCUGCUGAGGAACCUCUUGGUCAUGCAGCUGCCAUAAUUACUGAUGUACUUGAGAAUGCUGAAACUAAUCAUGUGAUUAAUGCUUCACAGAAGCGAGCACUUCUUCAAGAAAUGGCACUUAGGCUGACCUAGAGGUCAUCACUGGCCACCUUGAUAGAUAUUGUGGUUUUGAUCAUCGCUGCCUCAUGAAAAUAUUGCUCGUUUUACAUUGUUGCUUGUAUCUCUUCAUACAAUUGUCAGGUGUUUUGGUGUUUAAGUUGGUGUUUUAGCUGAGGCGAGUCUGUAAAUUCAGUUUACAACUAAUAGUUUUCCCCAUGUUGAAAAUUGGCGGAAAGGGGAAAUUUUGGAUUUGUUGUGAAAGAAAUGUAGAAAUAUGACAGGAAAAAGUUGAUUAGUAUCCCUUGCUUUUGUACCUUCCACUCGAUUCCAUAAGUAGCCUGGUUUUGAGAGUUUAGU
rnacentral:misc_RNA from 1 species